CCUACGGGAGGCAGCAGUGAGGAAUAUUGGUCAAUGGGCGAGAGCCUGAACCAGCCAAGUAGCGUGAAGGAUGAAGGCUCUAUGGGUCGUAAACUUCUUUUAUAUGGGAAUAAAGUAUUCCACGUGUGGAAUUUUGUAUGUACCAUAUGAAUAAGGAUCGGCUAACUCCGUGCCAGCAGC
rnacentral:rRNA from 1 species